CCCAGGUCAGGCGGGAUUAACCC
rnacentral:rRNA from 1 species